rnacentral:rRNA from 1 species
GGGGAAUAUUGGACAAUGGGCGCAAGCCUGAUCCAGCCAUGCCGCGUGAGUGAUGAAGGCCCUAGGGUUGUAAAGCUCUUUCGCCAGGGACGAUAAUGACGGUACCUGGAUAAGAAGCCCCGGCUAACUUCGUGCCAGCAGCCGCGGUAAUACGAAGGGGGCUAGCGUUGUUCGGAUUUACUGGGCGUAAAGCGCACGUAGGCGGAUCUUUAAGUCAGAGGUGAAAUCCCAAGGCUCAACCUUGGAACUGCCUUUGAUACUGGAGAUCUCGAGUUCGGGAGAGGUGAGUGGAACUGCGAGUGUAGAGGUGAAAUUCGUAGAUAUUCGCAAGAACACCAGUGGCGAAGGCGGCUCACUGGCCCGAUACUGACGCUGAGGUGCGAAAGCGUGGGGAGCAAAC